UACGUAGGGUGCGAGCGUUGUCCGGAAUUAUUGGGCGUAAAGAGCUUGUAGGCGGUUUGUCGCGUCUGCUGUGAAAAUCCGGGGCUCAACCCUGGACUUGCAGUGGGUACGGGCAGACUAGAGUGUGGUAGGGGAGACUGGAAUUCCUGGUGUAGCGGUGAAAUGCGCAGAUAUCAGGAGGAACACCGAUGGCGAAGGCAGGUCUCUGGGCCACUACUGACGCUGAGAAGCGAAAGCAUGGGGAGCGAACAGGAUUAGA
rnacentral:rRNA from 1 species